rnacentral:rRNA from 1 species
AGACGUCUACAUUAGAUACCCGGGUAGUCCAGGGUGUAAACGCUGCAGACUUGGUGUUGGAAGCCCUUUGGGGGCAUUCAGUGCCGGAGAGAAGUUGUUAAGUCUGCUACUUGGGGAGUACGUCCGCAAGGAUGAAACUUAAAGGAAUUGGCGGGGGAGCACCGCAACGGGAGGAGCGUGCGGUUUAAUUGGAUUCAACACCGUAAACUCACCAGGGAAGACUGUUACAUGAAGGCCGAGAUGAAGACUCUGCUAGAUUUUCAG